UACGUAGGGGGCAAGCGUUGUCCGGAUUUAUUGGGGGUAAAGCGCGUGUAGGCGGCCUUGCAAGUCGGGUGUGAAAGCCCUCAGCUCAACUGAGGAAGUGCGCCCGAAACUGCAGAGCUUGAGUGCCGGAGAGGAGGGUGGAAUUCUCGAAGUAGAGGUGAAAUUCGUAGAUAUCGGGAGGAACACCGGUGGCGAACGCGACCCUCUGGACGGACACUGACGCUGAGACGCGAAAGCGUGGGUAGCAAACAGG
rnacentral:rRNA from 1 species